CCUACGGGUGGCAGCAGUAGGGAAUUUUGCGCAAUGGGCGAAAGCCUGACGCAGCAACGCCGCGUGAUCGAGACGCCCUUCGGGGUGUAAAGAUCUGUCAGAGGGGACGAAACUUGACGGUACCCACAGAGGAAGCACUGGCCAACGCCGUGCCAGCAGCCGCGGGACUACGGGGGGUGCAAGCGUCGUCCGGAAUCAUUGGGCGUAAAGAGUUCGUAGGCGGCACGUAAAGUCUGGUGGUAAUGGCAGAGGCGCAACUUCUGUACGGCACUGGAUACUUGCGAGCUAGAAUGCGGUAGAGGUAAAGGGAAUUCCAGGUGUAGCGGUGAAAUGCUUAGAUAUCAGGAGGAACACCAGUGGCGUAAGCGCUUUACUGGGCCGUAAUUGACGCUGAGGAACGAAAGCCAGGGUAGCAAAUGGGAUUAGAUACCCUGGUAGUC
rnacentral:rRNA from 1 species